GAUCAGUGAGUGGAGUCAGUCUGAUUGUUAUCCUGCUGUGUUGCUUCAAACAGUCAAAGGGUCGUUGCUGUUUCAGGUUGGUCCAAUCAGAGAGAAGAGCUCAGGACUCAAACACAAACUACAACCAGACUGGAGGUGAUGAGUCCAGCUCUGCUGACCGUGG